GAUGAAAAUUUAAUGAUAAUGAUCAAAUCACAAGUAGAUUGCAUAAUUAUUGCAUUAAUUAUAUAAACUUAAUGAAUGCUGCAGAUUUUUGAGAUAAAAGGAUAAUAUAUUUUACAAAGAUACAUUAACACGCGCGCAAAACAAUUUUAAUACAAAAUUUAUAUUAUUUAUCAUAAAAAGCACGGAUAUUAUUAACGUUAUUGCCAAUAUUAGAUUAUUAAACUUAUACCUUACAUGGCGCGCCACUACAUAAGCCGUUGUAUAACUUCACAAUAUAUCCUCUAUCUAAACUAUAUUUGAUAUACAUACAUGCCUCCCUUUAACGGUAAAUCCAUUAAUACUAAGUAUAAUCAUACAUUAUAUAAGUAGUUUCAGUUAACUUUUAAGUGCACUUUAAUCGUCGGAAUUAAUCCGCCUAUUUUUUUUUAUAACUUUGAUUUUCUUAUCACACAUGUAAUUAUAGAAGAAUUAAUUUCUUUAAAUUUCUAUACUUUUUAUUUUACAUUGUAUGUAGAAAUAAAGUCAUCUACACACAUAUUUGUUAUGUAAUCGCACACAAAAUUUUAUAAUACGAGUAUAAGAAUUGAAUAAUUUCAACAAGCUCUCGCGCAAAAGAAAAUAAAUCGACGACACUUUUUUUGUUGAUUUGAGAAUAUUUAAUUUUGAAGGGGUAAAGUUUGCUCUAAUUGCGUUUGUUUUCAAGAAGGACGUUGUAUUAAAAGUGUACGCGUGUACGAGUUUUAGACGUUUUCUUGUAUUCCCACCGAUAUCUGGAAUCAUUUAUUUCUAUGAUGAUCAGCAGCAAGCAAAUUUAAUCAUAAGUAAGAAAGCACAGCUGACUACCGUUUUGUUCAAACGACAUUUUGAAAGAGCCAAUUAAAAGUUAUUCGGGUUAUUGUGCGUGGAGUCGAGUUUGUAGGAUUACGUAAAAGAAGAAGGAAUAAGGGAGAAAGAGGGGAAAGGUACGCAAAAUUAAACGGAGGAAAAUUAAUGAACUAAGAAUGGCAGAAAAGGUGGAGGCGAUAACAAUUGAACUUUAUAUAAUUAGCGAUAAUUAUAGAUGUUAUGCGAUUAACGAAUUUUUUUAUAUAAUAAACUCCAUAAAUAUUAUAUUAUUGAAACAAUAUGUUAGUAAAAGUGAUAAUAAUUAUAAAGAUACGUAAUUUUUAAAGAUAUCGUGCUAUUUCCCUAUAAACUCUAUAUAACAACAAAUUAAAAUAUUUUGUAAAACGGAAGUAUAUAUCAAUUUUCUUUUAUUUGGUAUGCGCGAGAGAAAGAGGCUCCCGAAAUGUUUAGUUUGUUGACAAUUAUACGUUUUGAGUUACACUUGAAUAAAAACUAAAUCACAGUAUUAUUGUUGUUAUUCGCGUAUAUAUACGUGGUAUUCUGUAUUGGCGAAAGAGGAAAAAACAAUAACAUGUACGCAUGAUAUAUACACAUCUUAUUCAAAUACUAGAGUUAGUUGCUAAGGAGCGAGUGUCGAAAUAACAUCGUGGCUGAGUGACCGUAAUAAACACGAGAAUAUAAUUGCAGUAUCAGAGUAUCGUUGAUUAUUAAUAUCUCACUGUUCAGCGUCUCGCUCGCGGGUACUGUUGUGCGUGUGACACUUCUCAGCAUUUUUAUGCAUUGUUGCGCUCCCGGAGCGCAUCGAAUGGACAGCUUGAUUUUUCCCUGGAGCACCCAAUCAUUGAUCGAUGACGGGUGUGUGCCUGUCUCCGCUAUGCCAGAGAGGGAAGAUGAACGAGAUGGAGCAGAUUCCUGAGGGCUGAGAUCGCGCGGAUCUUCGAGAUGGCUGGUUGGAGAAUGCAGCCGACCGCCACGGUGCUCGGCGUCAUCGCCAUUGUCAUGAUCACUAUUACUGCGUCAGAAACGGAGAGCGGCGCCAUCGAGCAUGGCAUCAAUCAUCUCGACGAGGAAGAUCAGCGUUCCGGCGAAAGGAUUGCAACGAAUCACACCGUCGAAACCGUUGGUUGGUCUCGCGAUAACGAUACAGCGGCCCUUGAGGAAGUGAUUUCCGCCGUCGCGGUUGAGUAUCCAACUUCGACGAAGAGCUCUCUCUCGCUCGUUACCGUGAUUGAAGCUCACUUCGAAAACACAUCGAAGAAAUAUGUAGACCAAAUGAUAUUCGCUUCCAAGAGGAUCGAGGACUCGGAACAGGCGGAAGAGGCGCUAGCGACGUUGAAGCACAUCGAAGAGUUUCGAGGAACGAACGAGUCUACAAUAGAAAAGCCAAAGAAUGAUUGGCUGACAAUGAUGCCGGUCGAGAAGGAGGAAGAUGUUACGAAAGCGAAAUACGAAAGCGAGCAGAGAAACGUGGAGGACAUCAGGGCGAUCUCGUUCCAAGUACCGCCACCGAACGAGGAGGAGGAUUAUCAGGACAGCCGACAACAGGGGAAGACCAGCAUCGACCAGAUGAACGAGACGCGAAAGCUUGGUGAGACGAGGAAGAAUCAGUCUAGAUCGGCCAACAAUCUACUGCUGAGCGGCAAAUCGACGAAGGCCUUCUACGAAAUAAAACCGUCGAUUAGGACGCUAGAAACGGAACGCGGUCGUGAUCAUCAGUCCCAGACGACCACUCACAAAACUCUAUCGGGCAGAAAGUUUGUUCUGCCCAGCGUCGAUAGCGCCUUUGGUAAAUUCGGUCCGUACUUCGAGGACGGCGAUCGAGAGAUGAAUGUCACCACGAGAAUCGGCAGCACCGUUUUGCUGGACUGCAAAAUCGGCAUGCUAGGCAAUAAAGAGGUGACAUGGUUGCAGCAUAGUAAGGAUUCAUUUCGUCUGUUGACAGUGGGUAAAAUGUCAUAUAGCAACGACCAAAGAAUCAGUCUUAAUUUUAGAUAUCCUAGCAAUUGGAGAUUGCAGAUAUUGUACGCGAGCCCGCGCGAUUCGGGAUUGUAUCAAUGCCAAGUCGCUACGCAUCCACCGUUGGUUAAGAAAAUCAAUGUCGUCAUUACAGCACCAACUCUGACGAUCAGCGACGAUUCCGGGCGUAUAGUUUCCAAAGAGAGACAUUUAAAGGCGGGCAGUGUUCUCAGACUCAGAUGUGAGGCGAGGAACGUGCUAGAAUCAUUGAACGAGUCUGUCGUUUGGACCAGGGGAGACGAAACGCUCAGCGAGGACAUUAGCGAGAACAGAACGACGGAGAUCUCGGCGGGCAAGGAGGUCCUCGUGAUUGUCAGUACUCUCAUCGUGGAGAGGGCCAGUCCAAGGCACGCCGGGAACUAUAGCUGCGUGGUGCCUGGCAAAGCCAAGACCACCGUCGCGGUCCACGUUCUCAACGGUGAACUGCCAGCCGCCGUGCACGACGGCAACGGAGUUUCGAGAGCGUUCCUUAAUCUUUGGCUGGUUCACCUGACGAUGAGCUAUGUCUUCACCAGAUGACAGUAUUAAGCACCAGCAUUUUCGACCGGUAAUGAAAUCACGUGAUGGGGUUGCCGUUAUCGGAAAUUUUAUUAGAGCCACGUAAUCCGAUGUUUCGUCGAUGAGCUUUUUUUCUCGUGCAUCGUAUACGUAAUUACAUGAGACACUAACUAAUUAAAAACGGCUAACUAGAGCAAAAAAUGAGAUGACGUUCUUCGAAGGUAUUAUUAGAAAGCUGAAAAAGUGUAACGAAAAAACCGUUUAUUCGGAAGAUUAUAUAAAUCCCAUAGAGAGAAAAGUUGCUCUAGAUUGCUAAUUUAUGUUUAUGAGUAUGUUAUCGUGAUUUUAAAUUUUUUAGAUAUAGACUUAAAUUGUCGAAAAUCACGAUUCAAAUUGAAACAAUUUGCUUAAAUGAAAUUUAAAUGCGCCAAAAUUUACGCUUUGAUGGACAAUAU